rnacentral:rRNA from 1 species
CACGCUGUAAACGAUGUCGAUUUGAAGGUUGUUCCCUAGAGGAGUGGCUUUCGGAGCUAACGCGUUAAAUCGACCGCCUGGGGAGUACGGCCGCAAGGUUAAAACUCAAAUGAAUUGACGGGGGCCCGCACAAGCGGUGGAGCAUGUGGUUUAAUUCGAUGCAACGCGAAGAACCUUACCUACUCUUGACAUCCAGAGAAUUUAGCAGAGAUGCUUUAGUGCCUUCGGGAACUCUGAGACAGGUGCUGCAUGGCUGUCGUCAGCUCGUGUUGUGAAAUGUUGGGUUAAGUCCCGCAACGAGCGCAACCCUUAUCCUUUGUUGCCAGCGAUUCGGUCGGGAACUCAAAGGAGACUGCCGGUGAUAAACCGGAGGAAGGUGGGGAUGACGUCAAGUCAUCAUGGCCCUUACGAGUAGGGCUACACACGUGCUACAAUGGCGUAUACAAAGAGAAGCGACCUCGCGAGAGCAAGCGGAACUCAUAAAGUACGUCGUAGUCCGGAUUGGAGUCUGCAACUCGACUCCAUGAAGUCGGAAUCGCUAGUAAUCGUAGAUCAGAAUGCUACGGUGAAUACGUUCCCGGGCCUUGUACACACCGCCCGUCACACCAUGGGAGUGGGUUGCAAAAGAAGUAGGUAGCUUAACCUUCGGGAGGACGCUUACCACUUUGUGAUUCAUGACUGGGGUGAAGUCGUAACACAGGUAACCAAGGGCGAAUUCGCGGC